UAACUCGUCAUUAGUCUCUCUUAAGCAACAUGUUUAUCCCCUCCUAACCGCAGCUAAUACUUUAUUAGUGGUGGCUUUUUUCUCAAUGCAACCGACACAUUUUACUUCGACUUAAUUGAGUUAAUUCAUUGGGCGCUAAAGCGGUAAAAGAAUUACCGCCACCUCCCUUCCAUUAAACGCUAAAACCUCAAUAAAACAAAACAAAACAAAACCAACAACACACACUAUAACAUUAACACAAACCAAAGCAUGCAUUAGCAUUCUUCCUUCAUCCAUCUUCAUGGAUUACACCCAUCUGCUUCUUCUUCUCUUCUUCUUAUUCUUUGGUGUGGGAUUCUCGGAGAACACGAAUCCGAGGUUGCUGGCGUCACCAUCAUUAUUAUCAACGACUCAGAUAAACUCGAACUCGAUCCUUGUGGCUCUUCUGGACUCCCAUUACACAGAGCUCGCGGAGCUCAUAGAAAAAGCCAUGCUCCUUCAAACACUCGAAGAAGCAGUAGCCACACACAACAUCACAAUCUUCGCACCCACCAACCAAGCCUUAGAAUCAAACCUUGAUUCUUUCUUCAAACGCUUCCUUCUCGAACCAGCUAAUCUCCAUUCCCUCCAAGCCCUCAUUCUCUUCCACAUCCUCCCAACCCGAAUUUCAUCCCAAUAUAGUUUCGGGUCGACCCGAAUCAACACGCUAUCGUCCGAACCCAUUCGCCUCCAGACGAAUUCCACCUCCAAAGAAUGGACAGUCGAUCGGGUCAAGAUAACCCGGCCCGAUGAUGUUACCCGGCCCGAUGGUAUCAUCCAUGGGGUUAACGGCCUUCUCAUUCCACGUUCCGUACAAGACGACUUCAACCGCCGCCGCAGUCUUCGCUCGAUUGCCGCCGUGAAACCCGAGCCAGCUCCUGAAAUCGAUCCGAGAACCAACCGGGUUAAGAAGCUCGACCCGAAAGAAAAGCCUCCGGGCUCAAAACCCUCACUCCCGAUCUAUGAGGCGCUGGCACCGGGACCGUCACUAGCUCCGGCGUCGGCACCGGCACCUGGAGGCCACCACGGGCACUUCGAUGGCGAGUCUCAGGUGAGGGACUUCAUCCACACGCUAAUCCACUACGGAGGGUACAACGAGAUGGCGGACAUUCUCGUAAACCUAACGUCACUGGCCACGGAGAUGGGACGCUUGGUGUCAGAGGGUUACGUCCUCACCGUCCUUGCGCCGAACGACGAGGCUAUGGCCAAGCUUACGACGGAGCAGCUCAGUGAACCGGGGGCACCGGAGCAGAUAAUGUACUACCAUCUGAUACCGGAGUACCAAACAGAAGAGAGCAUGUACAAUUCUGUUAGAAGGUUCGGGAAGGUUAGGUACGAUACGCUGCGGUUGCCGCAUAAGGUGGUGGCGAUGGAGGCUGAUGGUUCGGUGCGGUUCGGAAAAGGUGGCGGUUCGGCUUAUUUGUUCGAUCCUGAUAUAUAUACCGAUGGAAGAAUCUCUGUUCAGGGGAUUGACGGGGUUUUGUUUCCGACGGAGGAAGGAGAGGAGACGGUGACGGGUCGGGUCAAGAACGGCAAUCGGACGGGUCAACCCGUUAAGGUCGUUGUCAAGCAUAGAAGAGGAAAAUUGCUUGAAGCAGCAUGCUGGAUGCUUGGAACCGUCGGUCAACAUUCUAGAUUCGCCUCUUGUCAAUGAAGCCAACCUUUGCCCUCUCCUUUGGCUAUCAAGAUUGUUUCAAACUAGAAACUGCACAGGAUUGAUCAAAGAUGUAAAGUCACUAAGGUGAAGGCCUUCUUGAAUGGAUGAUAGCCAGCUGCUAUGAGUGUGAAUUUCCAACAGUUUUGUUUUGCCAUUUCCUCUUUUCUCCUAUUGGAUUUGGGUUCAGGCUUCUAUCUAGUCUCCUUGUCACACAUUAUAGUGCAGAUUUGUAUCUAUAUUCAAUCCAAUUUCAUAGGUGGUUGUGUUGGUGGGAUUUAAAGGCUGUUUUCGUUUUCUGUUCAACAGGGCAUGGAAUUUUCUAGUAGACAUGUGUUGGUUCAAAACUUUACUAAAGAAAUGGAAAUACAGUCAAAAGCAAAUAAGAAAAAAAAAUUAUGAUUCUUUACUGUCAUGA